UCCAGGGUAGCCUAGUGGACAUGGCAUCUGCCCAGUAAGCGGAAGGUUGUGGGUUCGAUUCCCGCCCCUGGAC